rnacentral:rRNA from 1 species
UUCCUUUAGUAAUAUAUUAAAGGUAAUACCUGCCCUAUGAACUAUAUUAAAUGGCUGCAUUUGCACUAAGGUAGCAUAAUUAAUUGUCUCUUAAUAGGUGACUUGUUUGAAAGGUUUAAUGCGAAAGAAAACAAUAUAAAAAAUAAAUAAAACUUUUAACCUAAGGUCAAAAUACCUAGAUCAAUAAGAAAGACGAGAAGACCCUGUUGAUGUUUACUUUCAAUAAAAGUUAUAAUGGGAAAUUACAUCUUAUAUUAAGAUUUCCUUAGAUCCUUUAAAAUAAGAAUAAGGAUUAACUUACCACAGGGAUAACAGGAUAAUGCUUUUUUAGAGUCCUUAUCAAGAAAAGUGUUUAUUACCUCGAUGUUGAAUCGAAAUUACUUAUCGGUGCAGCAGCCGAUACCCGUAAGUCUGUUCGACUUUUAAAAUUUCACGUGAUUU